rnacentral:rRNA from 1 species
UACGUAGGGGUGCAAGCGUUUAAUCGGAAUUACUGGGCGUAAAACGUGCGCAGGCGGUUAUGUAAGACAGGUGUGAAAUCCCCGGGCUUAACCUGGGAACUGCAUUUGUGACUGGCAUAGCUAGAGUACGGUAGAGGGGGAUGGAAUUCCGCGUGUAGCAGUGAAAUGCGUAGAUAUGCGGAGGAACACCGGAUGGCGAAGGCAGCCCCCUGGGUCAAAACUGACGCUCAUGCACGAAAGCGUGGGGAGCAAACAGG